rnacentral:rRNA from 1 species
GCAAGUCUGGUGCCAGCAGCCGCGGUAAUUCCAGCUCCAAUAGCGUAUAUUAAAGUUGUUGCAGUUAAAAAGCUCGUAGUUGAAUUUCGGGAUCAGUACGCCGGUCGUGCCUUCGGUAUGCACUGGUGUCACUGGUUUCUCCCUUCUGAAGAACCAUCAUGCCAUUCAGUUGGUGUGGCGGGGAAUCAGGACUGUUACUUUGAAAAAAUUAGAGUGUUUAAAGCAGGCUCACGCUUGAAUACAUUAGCGUGGAAUAAUGAAAUAGGACGUUUGAUUCUAUUUUGUUGGUUUCUAGGAUCGACGUAAUGAUUAAUAGGGAUAGUUGGGGGCAUUAGUAUUCAAUUGUCAGAGGUGAAAUUCUUGGAUUUAUUGAAGACUAACUACUGCGAAAGCAUUUGCCAAGGAUGUUUUCAUUAAUCAAGAACAAAAGUUAGGGGAUCGAAGACGAUCAGAUACCGUCGUAGUCUUAACCAUAAACUAUGCCGACUAGGGAUCGGAUGAUGUUAAUUUUUUAAUGACUCAUUCGGCGCCUUACGGGAAAC